GUCAGGUGUGGUGGCACACACCUGUAAUCCCAGCUACUUGGGAGGCUGAGGCAGGAGAAUCACUUGAACUCAGGAGAUGGAGGUUGCAGUGAGCCGAGAUUGCGCCACUGCACUCCAGCCUGAGUAACAGAGUGAGACUCUGUCUCAA
rnacentral:sRNA from 1 species